GUAGUCAUAUGCUUGUCUCAAAGAUUAAGCCAUGCAUGUCUAAGUAUAAACAAAUUCAUACUGUGAAACUGCGAAUGGCUCAUUAAAUCAGUUAUAGUUUAUUUGAUGGUAUCUUGCUACAUGGAUAACUGUGGUAAUUCUAGAGCUAAUACAUGCUGAAAAGCCCCGACUUCUGGAAGGGGUGUAUUUAUUAGAUAAAAACCAUUCUCCUCGGAGUUUGGUGAUUCAUAAUAACUUCUCGAAUCGCACGGCCUUGUGCUGGCGAUGCUUCAUUCAAAUAUCUGCCCUAUCAACUGUCGAUGGUAGGAUAGAGGCCUACCAUGGUUGCAACGGGUAACGGGGAAU
rnacentral:rRNA from 1 species